rnacentral:rRNA from 1 species
GAUGAACGCUGGCGGCGUGCCUAAUACAUGCAAGUCGAGCGAACAGACGAGGAGCUUGCUCCUCUGACGUUAGCGGCGGACGGGUGAGUAACACGUGGAUAACCUACCUAUAAGACUGGGAUAACUUCGGGAAACCGGAGCUAAUACCGGAUAGUAUAUUGAACCGCAUGGUUCAAUAGUGAAAGACGGUUUUGCUGUCACUUAUAGAUGGAUCCGCGCCGCAUUAGCUAGUUGGUAAGGUAACGGCUUACCAAGGCAACGAUGCGUAGCCGACCUGAGAGGGUGAUCGGCCACACUGGAACUGAGACACGGUCCAGACUCCUACGGGAGGCAGCAGUAGGGAAUCUUCCGCAAUGGGCGAAAGCCUGAUGGAGCAACGCCGCGUGAGUGAUGAAGGUCUUCGGAUCGUAAAACUCUGUUAUUAGGGAAGAACAAAUGUGUAAGUAACUAUGCACGUCUUGACGGUACCUAAUCAGAAAGCCACGGCUAACUACAUG